GACGAACGCUGGCGGCGUGCUUAACACAUGCAAGUCGAACGCUGAAGCUCAGCUUGCUGGGUGGAUGAGUGGCGAACGGGUGAGUAACACGUGAGUAACCUGCCCUCUUCUUUGGGAUAACGCCCGGAAACGGGUGCUAAUACUGGAUAUUCACUGAUUCUCGCAUGGGGGUUGGUGGAAAGGUUUUUUCUGGUGGGGGAUGGGCUCGCGGCCUAUCAGCUUGUUGGUGGGGUGAUGGCCUACCAAGGCUUUGACGGGUAGCCGGCCUGGGAGGGUGACCGGUCACAUUGGGACUGAGAUACGGCCCAGACUCCUACGGGAGGCAGCAGUGGGGAAUAUUGCACAAUGGGCGAAAGCCUGAUGCAGCGACGCCGCGUGAGGGAUGGAGGCCUUCGGGUUGUAAACCUCUUUCGCUCAUGGUCAAGCCGCAGCUUUGGGUUGUGGUGAGGGUAGUGGGUAAAGAAGCGCCGGCUAACUACGUG
rnacentral:rRNA from 1 species